GCGACGAACCAGGGCUUGCCCUGGGGCAGAGCCGCGAACGGGUGAGUAACACGUGGGUUACCUGCCUCGAUGACCGGGACAACCCGAGGAAACUCGGGCUAAUACCGGAUGUGCCCGCAAGGGGAAAGGAAGCUUCGGCCUCCGCAUCGAGAUGGGCCCGCGGCCCAUUAGCUUGUUGGUGAGGUAACGGCUCACCAAGGCUUCGAUGGGUAGCUGGUCUGAGAGGACGAUCAGCCACACUGGGACUGAGACACGGCCCAGACUCCUACGGGAGGCAGCAGUGGGGAAUCUUGCGCAAUGCGCGAAAGCGUGACGCAGCAACGCCGCGNNNNNGAAGAAGGCUCUCGGGUUGUAAACCCCNNNNNGUUGGGA
rnacentral:rRNA from 1 species